GACGAACGCUGGCGGCGUGCUUAACACAUGCAAGUCGAACGAGAAGAGAUAAGAAGCUUGCUUCUUAUCGAUUCGAGUGGCAAACGGGUGAGUAACGCGUAAGCAACCUGCCCUCUAGAUGGGGACAACAGCUGGAAACGGCUGCUAAUACCGAAUACGUUCUUUCUGUCGCAUGGCAGAAGGAAGAGAGGGAGGCUCUUCGGAGCUUUCGCUGGAGGAGGGGCUUGCGUCUGAUUAGCUAGUUGGAGGGGUAACGGCCCACCAAGGCGACGAUCAGUAGCCGGUCUGAGAGGAUGAACGGCCACAUUGGGACUGAGACACGGCCCAGACUCCUACGGGAGGCAGCAGUGGGGAAUCUUCCGCAAUGGACGAAAGUCUGACGGAGCAACGCCGCGUGAACGAUGACGGCCUUCGGGUUGUAAAGUUCUGUUAUACGGGACGAAUGGUACGACGGCCAAUACCCGUCGUAAGUGACGGUAC
rnacentral:rRNA from 1 species